rnacentral:rRNA from 1 species
GUGCCAGCAGCCGCGGUAAUACGUAGGUGGCAAGCGUUGUCCGGAUUUAUUGGGCGUAAAGCGAGCGCAGGCGGUUCUUUAAGUCUGAUGUGAAAGCCCCCGGCUCAACCGGGGAGGGUCAUUGGAAACUGGAGAACUUGAGUGCAGAAGAGGAGAGUGGAAUUCCACGUGUAGCGGUGAAAUGCGUAGAUAUGUGGAGGAACACCAGUGGCGAAGGCGACUCUCUGGUCUGUAACUGACGCUGAGGCUCGAAAGCGUGGGGAG